AGCAGUCGCCGCGGGAAUACGUAGGGUGCAAGCGUUGUCCGGAAUUAUUGGGCGUAAAGAGCUCGUAGGCGGUUUGUCGCGUCUGCUGUGAAAUCCCGAGGCUCAACCUCGGGCUUGCAGUGGGUACGGGCAGACUAGAGUGCGGUAGGGGAGAUUGGAAUUCCUGGUGUAGCGGUGGAAUGCGCAGAUAUCAGGAGGAACACCGAUGGCGAAGGCAGAUCUCUGGGCCGUAACUGACGCUGAGGAGCGAAAGCGUGGGGAGCGAACAGGAUUAGAUACCCCCGUAGUCCCUGUCUCUUAUAC
rnacentral:rRNA from 1 species